rnacentral:rRNA from 1 species
AAAUGCGAUAAGUAAUGUGAAUUGCAGAAUUCAGUGAAUCAUCGAAUCUUUGAACGCACCUUGCGCUCCUUGGUAUUCCGAGGAGCAUGCCUGUUUGAGUGUCAUGUAAUCAUCAAACCCCCCUUCCGUUUUGUAAUAAAAGCGGGUCGGACGGUUUGGACUUGGAGGUUAUUAAAUGUUGGCUUUCACGAGUCGACUCCUCUUGAAAACAUUAGUCGGGACUUCGGUCGCUCCGUCGCGGUACGCGGUGUGAUAAUUUAUUCACCCAUCGGUAAACCCGCUUCUUGCGUCCGGCUGGCUUCUAACUCCUGUUUUUUUUUGCGACUCUUUACUGAGUUUUGUAAAAGAAACCAUUUGACAAUCUGGCCUCAAAUCAGGUAGGACUACCCGCUGAACUUAAGCAUAUCAAUAAGCGGAGGAAAAGAAACUAACAAGGAUUCCCCUAGUAACUGCGAGUGAAGCGGGAAAAGCUCAAAUUUAAAAUCUGGCGGUCUUUGGCCGUCCGAGUUGUAAUCUGGAGAAGCGUUUUCCGUGC